UACUGAGGUUUACAACUUCUCUCAAGAUGAUUUGUUGACUGAGGAUAUAUUGAUACUUGACACCCAUGAAGAGAUAUUUGUUUGGGUUGGACAGUCUGUGGAUUCUAAAGAAAAGCAGAACGCUUUUGAUAUAGGCCAGAAAUACAUAGAUCUUGCAAUCACACUGGAAGGGCUUUCUCCAGACGUACCGCUUUAUAAAAUUACCGAAGGG
rnacentral:misc_RNA from 1 species